CAAGAGCAGUUCCCUCUUAGGCUUAGCUUUGUUACGAUGAUUAGCAAGGCGCAAGGGCAGACCAUCCCGAUUGUCGGCAUGUACCUACCUAAUCCAGUGUUCUCUCAUGGCCAACUCUAUCUCGUGUUGUCUCGAGCCACCACGAAGAGAAACAUAAAGAUCCUCAUCAAGAAGGAGAAAGAGAAGAGCAAGAAGCAAACCAAUAAAUCAAAGAAGCAAAAAAGACCUACUAUUUCCUUACAGGCCUCGAUGAAGAACAUAGUCUAUAAGGAAGUCCUUACAGGCUGA
rnacentral:rRNA from 1 species